rnacentral:rRNA from 1 species
UACGGAGGGGGCUAGCGUUGUUCGGAAUUACUGGGCGUAAAGCGCACGUAGGCGGCUUUGUAAGUUAGAGGUGAAAGCCCAGGGCUUAACCCUGGAAUUGCCUUUAAGACUGCAUCGCUAGAAUUGUGGAGAGGUAAGUGGAAUUCCGAGUGUAGAGGUGAAAUUCGUAGAUAUUGGGAAGAACACCGAUGGCGAAGGCAGCCAUCUGGACCGACGACUGACGCUGAGGCGCGAAAGCGUGGGGAGCAAACAGG